UGCUCCGUAGUUCAGUGGUAGAAUAACGCACUGUUAAUGCGCAGGUCCUUGGUUCGAAUCCAAGUGGAGCAG
rnacentral:tRNA from 3 species